rnacentral:rRNA from 1 species
UACGGGGGGGGUAAGCGUUGUUCGGAAUUACUGGGCGUAAAGGGCUCGUAGGCGGCCAACUAAGUCAUACGUGAAAUCCCUCAGCUUAACUGGGGAACUGCGUCGGAUACUGGAUGGCUUGAAUUCGGGAGAGGGAUGCAGAAUUCCAGGUGUAGCGGUGAAAUGCGUAGAUAUCUGGAGGAAUACCGGUGGCGAAGGCGGCAUCCUGGACCGAAAUUGACGCUGAUGAGCGAAAGCUAGGGGAGCAAACGGG